AUGGUGUGGCCGUGUAUCUUUCUCUGUCUGCUGGCUGCAGCCCCAGGUGUACUGUCCCAGGUGCAGCUGCAGGAGUCAGGCCCAGGGCUGGUGAAGCCAGCACAGACCCUGUCCCUCACCUGCACGGUCUCUGGAUUCUCCAUCACAACCAGUGGUUACUGUUGGCACUGGAUCCGCCAGCCCUCGGGGAAGGGACUGCAGUGGAUUGGGGAAAUAUGUGCUAGUGGUGACACUUACUACAGCCCAUCCCUCAAGAGUCGCAGCUCCAUCUCUAGGGACACAGAUGUCCUGUCUGAGCCAACUCUGCAGGAGUCAGGUUCAGGGCUGGUGAAACCCUCGCAGACACUGUCCGUCACCUGCUCUGUCUCUGGAUUCUCCAUCACAACCAGUGGUUACUGCUGGAGCUGGAUCCACCAGCCCCCAGGAAAAGGGCUGCAGUGGCUGUCAGUAAUAUGCUAUGAUGGAGGCACAGCUUAUGUCCCAUCACUGAAGAGUCGACUCUCCACCUCCAGAGACACGUCCAAAAAUCAGUUCUCCCUGCAGCUGAGCUCUGUGACCACUGAGGACACUGCCGUGUAUUACUGUGCAAGAGACACAUCCAAGUUAGCUGUCAGGGUCAUUCAGAGUAUGAAAUUCUUCUUUCUUUUCUAG